rnacentral:rRNA from 1 species
UACAGAGGGUGCAAGCGUUGUUCGGAAUUAUUGGGCGUAAAGAGCGUGUAGGCGGCCAAACAGGUCCGUUGUGAAAACUGGAGGCUCAACUUCCAGACGUCGACGGAAACCGUGUGGCUAGAGUCCGGAAGAGGAGAGUGGAAUUCCUGGUGUAGCGGUGAAAUGCGCAGAUAUCAGGAAGAACACCCGUGGCGAAAGCGGCUCUCUGGGACGGUACUGACGCUGAGACGCGAAAGCGUGGGGAGCGAACAGG